rnacentral:rRNA from 1 species
ACGGGACCCGCACAAGCGGUGGAUGAUGUGAUUAAUUCGAUGCAACGCGAAAACCUUACCUACCUUGACAUGUCCGGAAUCCGAAGAGAUUUGGGAGUGCUCGCAAGAGAGCCGGAACACAGGUGCUGCAUGGCUGUCGUCAGCUCGUGUCGUGAGAUGUUGGGUUAAGUCCCGCAACGAGCGCAACCCUUGUCAUUAGUUGCCAUCAUUUGGUUGGGCACUCUAAUGAGACUGCCGGUGACAAACCGGAGGAAGGUGGGGAUGACGUCAAGUCCUCAUGGCCCUUAUGGGUAGGGCUUCACACGUCAUACAAUGGUCGGUACAGAGGGUUGCCAACCCGCGAGGGGGAGCUAAUCCCACAAAGCCGAUCGUAGUCCGGAUCGCAGUCUGCAACUCGACUGCGUGAAGUCGGAAUCGCUAGUAAUCGUGGAUCAGCAUGUCACGGUGAAUACGUUCCCGGGUCUU